CCUACGGGCGGCAGCAGUGAGGAAUAUUGGUCAAUGGACGAGAGUCUGAACCAGCCAAGUAGCGUGAAGGAUGACUGCCCUAUGGGUUGUAAACUUCUUUUAUAUGGGAAUAAAAUGUUCCACGUGUGGGAUUUUGUAUGUACCAUAUGAAUAAGGAUCGGCUAACUCCGUGCCAGCAGCCGCGGUAAUACGGAGGAUCCGAGCGUUAUCCGGAUUUAUUGGGUUUAAAGGGAGCGUAGGUGGAUUGUUAAGUCAGUUGUGAAAGUUUGCGGCUCAACCGUAAAAUUGCAGUUGAAACUGGCAGUCUUGAGUACAGUAGAGGUGGGCGGAAUUCGUGGUGUAGCGGUGAAAUGCUUAGAUAUCACGAAGAACUCCGAUUGCGAAGGCAGUUCACUGGACUGCAACUGACACUGAGGCUCGAAAGUGUGGGUAUCAAACAGGAUUAGAGACCCGAGUAGUC
rnacentral:rRNA from 1 species